GACGAACGCUGGCGGCGUGCCUAACACAUGCAAGUCGAACGGAACUGUUUUGAAAGAUUUCUUCGGAAUGAAUUUGAUUUAGUUUAGUGGCGGACGGGUGAGUAACGCGUGAGUAACCUGCCUUCAAGAGGGGGAUAACAUUCUGAAAAGAAUGCUAAUACCGCAUGACAUAUCGGAAUCACAUGGUUCUGAUAUCAAAGAUUUUAUCGCUUGAAGAUGGACUCGCGUCCGAUUAGUUAGUUGGUGAGGUAACGGCUCACCAAGACCGCGAUCGGUAGCCGGACUGAGAGGUUGAACGGCCACAUUGGGACUGAGACACGGCCCAGACUCCUACGGGAGGCAGCAGUGGGGGAUAUUGCGCAAUGGGGGCAACCCUGACGCAGCAACGCCGCGUGAAGGAUGAAGGUUUUCGGAUUGUAAACUUCUUUUAUUAAGGACGAAAAAUGACGGUAC
rnacentral:rRNA from 1 species